rnacentral:SRP_RNA from 1 species
CCGUGCUAGGCGGGGAGGUAGCGGUGCCCUGUCACCUGCAAUCCGCUAUAGCGGGGCUGAAUCCCUCGUGAGCGGCUGGGCUCUUCUUCAAGGCCUGCCUCACGUGCAGUGGCGUUGAGAGUUGGGUCCAACGCAACAAGGACUCACGAACCCCGCCAGGUCCGGAGGGAAGCAACGGUAAGUGAGAUCCCUUGUGUGCCGUUGGGGCGCCUGGCUUGAGCCACGGCGUGGGUUCCGCUUGGGGAAGGGGGUCAAUCCGAGGUGCACGG